UGUCCAUCGGCCACGGCUCCNGUUUU
rnacentral:piRNA from 1 species